UACGUAGGGCGCAAGCGUUAUCCGGAAUUAUUGGGCGUAAAGAGCUCGUAGGCGGCCUGUUGCGUCCGCUGUGAAAUCCCGGGGCUCAACCCCGGGCUUGCAGUGGAUACGGGCUGGCUAGAGGCAGGCAGGGGAGAACGGAAUUCCCGGUGUAGCGGUGAAAUGCGCAGAUAUCGGGAGGAACACCGGUGGCGAAGGCGGUUCUCUGGGCCUGUACUGACGCUGAGGAGCGAAAGCGUGGGGAGCGAACAGG
rnacentral:rRNA from 1 species